GUCACGUGCAGGCUGAAAUCAACGCGCGCAUGCGCAAAGCCGCCGCCGAUUCUGCAGCGUCUCUCCUCGUUGAGAAAUUGCCAAUACUGCAGGUUGGUGUGAAGGUGUGAAGGUGUGGACUCUGCUAUGAAUCAGGCUGAGGACCCAGAGGACGGAGUCCCUCCCUCUGAAGCCCCUCUGUGUGGGGAACAUGACAGCCAGACCAAAGCUCAGAGGAUCCAUCAGAGACCAGGACCUGGACCUGGACCCAGCUGUGUGUCCAUGAAGAGUAACCGGUCUAUGGAGCCUCCUCCACUCUUCAAAGAUGUUGGUCCCUCUGUUGAUGCAAGUUCACAUCAGCAGAGAGGAAAGUCUCCUGAACCCAGAUGUUUGUCCAUGAAGAGUGAUCGGUCUAAAGGUUGGCUGAUUGACUUCAAAGAUGGAUGCCGUUCUUAUGACCCAGAAUGUAAACACAAUGUGAGCCAGUUCCUCCACAUCAGGAUCAGCAGAGGUCACAUCUGGAGACAGCUGCAGGUUUCUGGAGUCAGAUGACUAGGAAUGAACAUGUGAUUAGAAUAAACUCAGUGCUCUGUGGACCAGCUGACGUGGUCUCUGGACUCCAUGCAGAGGUUUGGACAAAGUAUCGUCAGUAGACUCUGUGAAAAGGUCCAAAGACUAGUUCAGAAGAUCUAAGGAGACUUCUGGAGGUCAGGGGACGGACUAAAGAGGUUUGGAGGAGUUCCAUAGGACUUUGUACCAGAUGCAGAGGUCUGCAGACGUUGUUUUUAUGACCCACAGUAAGAACUAAAACCAGAUGAAACUGAUGACUAACUGUCACUCAACUAAUAAACUGUCCGUCAUCAUCGACAGUCUUCAGCAUCUGGUUUUCAUCAUGAUCCAUCAUGACAGAAGCCAAUAUCUUUAACUAAUGUUGUAUUGGUGUUGAUGGUGUGGUGGAAGAUUUUGCACAGACAAUCGUUAAGUAAGAAACAAAGGCUCUGAGUCAAGUAUGUCUUUUCUCCGUUUAUUUCCUUGCAAGGGAAAAAGGGUCACAACAGCUACGUGGUCAGUAGACUGUCAAGAACCUCCUUUUUCCUCCCAAC
ensembl:lncRNA